CUUAGAAGCAGCCAUCAUUUAAAGAAAGCGUAAUAGCUCACUGGUCGAGUCGGCCUGCGCGGAAGAUGUAACGGGGCUAAACCAUGCACCGAAGCUGCGGCAGCGACACUAUGUGUUGUUGGGUAGGGGAGCGUUCUGUAAGCCUGCGAAGGUGGCCUGUGAGGGUUGCUGGAGGUAUCAGAAGUGCGAAUGCUGACAUAAGUAACGAUAAAGCGGGUGAAAAGCCCGCUCGCCGGAAGACCAAGGGUUCCUGUCCAACGUUAAUCGGGGCAGGGUGAGUCGACCCCUAAGGCGAGGCCGAAAGGCGUA
rnacentral:rRNA from 1 species